rnacentral:lncRNA from 1 species
CAGCUACUAUAGAGGAUGAUGAAGUGAACUUUGAAAAAAAAACGUUGUCGCCUUCAACAAAUUAAGAGGAAUGAGGAUUUAAAAUAAUCAAUUUAAAAGUCGAGGAGAAAAAUAAUCAUUAAAAAGAAAUAUAAUAAUAAACAACGGUUAAAUAUCACUAAACCCAGAUUCCAGCGAGACUCCGGCGACUCCCACUUCUCCUGAACUUCACUCAAACAGCUGCCGCCGCCUCGCUCUUUUCCCCUUCAGCAUCUGAUCGACCCCUUGACCGUCCUCUGCCGCUUCAACUCACACCGACACACCCAUCAACUUCUCCACAUCCACGAACUCCGCCGCCGCCAAAACGCUCUCCCUCUUUCUCUCCAUGGACGCGUUGUCGCAGCCGAUCUUGUCCUCGAUCUGCGAGUCUCCGUGCGUUGUCACAAUCCAUAAGGCGACAUCGAAAUACCCUCUGUUAGAUCCCACUUCUCCACCGUCGUCAACUCGGAGAAUACGAUAUGUAGGUUAGGUUUUAUUGGAAGAGGGACCUAAC